rnacentral:rRNA from 1 species
AUUUAUCGGAGAAGGAUCGGCCCGCGUUGGAUUAGGUAGUUGGUGGGGUAAUGGCCUACCAAGCCGACGAUCCAUAGCUGGUUUGAGAGGAUGAUCAGCCACACUGGGACUGAGACACGGCCCAGACUCCUACGGGAGGCAGCAGUGGGGAAUCUUAGACAAUGGGGGAAACCCUGAUCUAGCCAUGCCGCGUGAGUGACGAAGGCCUUAGGGUCGUAAAGCUCUUUCGCUGGGGAAGAUAAUGACGGUACCCAGUAAAGAAACCCCGGCUAACUCCGUGCCAGCAGCCGCGGUAAUACGGAGGGGGUUAGCGUUGUUCGGAAUUACUGGGCGUAAAGCGCACGUAGGCGGGCUGUUAAGUCGGGGGUGAAAUCCCGGGGCUCAACCCCGGAACUGCCUUCGAUACUGGCAGCCUUGAGUCCGAGAGAGGUGAGUGGAAUUUCCGAGUGUAGAGGUGAAAUUUCGUAGAUAUUCCGAGGAACACCCAGUGGGCGAAAGGC